GGUAAGUUUCCGGGGUCCUGCAGGGCAUCCCCUUCUGAGCUAGGAUGCUGAAAGGAAACACCUGUCCCAGGCCUCCCAGAACUCAUAGCCUAAUGGGAGCCAGAGAAGUAAACAAUCAAAAUACGGUGUGCUGAGAGCUCCGGAGAGGCCUGAGGCAGGGCGGCAUCCCAGAGGAGGUGAAGUCGGACUGAAAAGGUGAUCCCUGCAAAGACAGAGUUGCGGGAGAGCAGGGCAGGCUCAGGAGGCUGCGGACCCCAGAGGCCUCACAUUCCCAGGCUCUGCAGACUGCCAGGUUGUGAAGAGCUGGAGACACCAUCAAAAUGGAGGGAACGUCUGGGACUUGAGUGCUGGAAUGGGCUGGAAUGUUAGAGCUGAAGCCCCGCUGGAGCCAGAGUCUUUGCUGGGGCUGGGAUUGGAGGCUGCAAAGAGCAAAAAGCAGCAAGGUCGGCUGCAGGUCAUGGAGAGAGAACAAACGCGCUUCUCUGAAGGAUGGAAAAAUCGAUGCCCACGGAAGAGCGGAUGCAGGGAAGGUGUGG